rnacentral:rRNA from 1 species
CCCCGGGAAACUGGGGAUAAUACCCUAUAGACUAUGGAUGCUGGAAUGCUCCGUAGUUGAAAGGUCCGCCGCUGUAGGAUGGGUCUGCGGCCGAUUAGGUUGUUGUUGGGGUAACGGCCCAACAAGCCUGUAAUCGGUACGGGUUGUGGGAGCAAGAGCCCGGAGAUGGAUUCUGAGACACGAAUCCAGGCCCUACGGGGCGCAGCAGGCGCGAAAACUUUACAAUGCGGGAAACCGUGAUAAGGGAACUCUGAGUGCCCGUAAAAUCGGGCUGUCCAUCAGUUUAAAUAACUGGUGAAGAAAAGGGCCGGGCAAGACCGGUGCCAGCCGCCGCGGUAAUACCGGCGGCUCGAGUGGUGGCCACUAUUACUGGGCUUAAAGCGUUCGUAGCUGGUUUGUUAAGUCUCUGGGGAAAUCUUCCGGCUUAACCGGAAGGCGUCUCAGGGAUACUGGCAGACUAGGGACCGGAAGAGGUGAGAGGUACUCCAGGGGUAGGAGUGAAAUCCUGUAAUCCUUGGGGGACCACCUGUGGCGAAGG